UUCAAUUAUAUUGUAAAUAUAUUAAAUUCAAAAAUAUAGAAAAUGAAACACAUGAAUCAAAUCUAUCAGUCAAUAAUAGAGUUCCAUUAUGGAAUACACUUCGAUCUCGGCCAUAAGUACGAACAGAUAGAUAUUGAAUGUUUUCAGUCAUUCGUGCACUAAUUCGAUUAGAGUUAUUUUAUUUUUAUUGAAAACUAAUUGCAAAUGAUUCCUUUGAAAAUUCAUUUUCAUAUAAUUUUAAAAUUACAAAAACGAAGAACAAACUAAAAUUCAAAUGUUUGAGAAAAUUAAAGAAUUUUAUAGUUUCGAUUUCUUGAUGAAGAAACGUCAGCAAGUCGCGAUUCACGAUAGACACACAGUCAAGAGACAGGACGGGUGUAACUGCUACUACUGGAUUGCUGCUUAGGCCCAAAAUCAGGGCCGUAUGUUUCUUGUAUAGGGCCUUAAAUGGACACGAUACGACUAUGUUCUCCCAUCCGUUUCUUGCUCGUUCGACCGGCUAUGGUGUAUACGUUCACAGGAUACCUGAUCUGCGUAUUUCGAUACUUUAAGGUCGGUCAGAAAUAGAAACUUCACUGUUUAUAUUUAAUGUGAAAUUAUUUUAAAACUAUCAAAAAGUGUAACUCUAUAAAAUUAACGUCAGUCAAUAAUUAUCUGAUAUUAUCAAAAAAGUGCAAUAUUUCAUGUAUCGCAAUUUAAUUUUAUAAUUAUAAUUUUAUACUAUUUAAUAUUUCAUUAUGCUAAACAAAUAUUAGAAUGCAAUACUUAAAUGUAUGUAAGGAAUGUAGCUUUCAUACAUUAUAAUUCCAUGACGAU